rnacentral:misc_RNA from 1 species
ACGGCGCACUUCGGCGUGGCGCGCCAGUUCGUCCAGAAGGCCGAGGGCCGGUGUGCGCUUGAGGCUGACGAGCAUCAUCGCCCGAAUGAUAUUGCUGUCGAUCUGGCCGAUAUCGGCCCGGUAGCCGCGAAUGACGCCGCUUUUUUCGAGGUUGGCGACACGCUCGCCGGUGGCGCUGCGGGAAAGGCCGAUGCGGCCAGCCAGUGUCUUCAGCGGAAUGCGCGCUUCCUUGGAGAGGAUAGCCAGAAUCUCGCGAUCUUUCUGAUCCAGUUCCCGCAUGGCCCGUUCUUUCGUGCUGGAGCGCAUCCCGAAAAGUGUGAAACGGUUUUCGGGAUGCGUGUCAAACAAACAGAUAGAGCGCGGAUCUGAUUUACU